rnacentral:rRNA from 1 species
UACGGGGGGUGCGAGCGUUGUCCGGAAUCACUGGGCGUAAAGGGCGCGUAGGUGGCCUGAUAAGGGUGUGGUGAAAGUCCGGGGCUCAACCCCGGAUCUGCCGUGCCGACUGUUGGGCUGGAGUACUGUAGGGGCAGGCGGAAUUCCGGGUGUAGCGGUGGAAUGCGUAGAGAUCCGGAGGAACACCGGUGGCGAAGGCGGGACUCUGGGCCGAUACUGACGCUGAGGAGCGAAAGCGUGGGGAGCAAACAGG